AUUGAACGCUGGCGGCAGGCCUAACACAUGCAAGUCGAGCGGAGCGGCGGACGGGUGAGUAAUGCCUAGGAAUCUUCCUGGUAGUGGGGGAUAACGUCCGGAAACGGGCGCUAAUACCGCAUACUAUAAGACGAGCCUAGGUCGGAUUCGCUAGUUGGUGGGGUAAAGGCCUACCAGGGCUCGGAUCCGUAACUGGUCUGAGAGGAUGAUCAGCUAAACUGGAACGGAGACACGGUCCAGACGCCUCCGGGAGGAAGCAGUGGGGAAUAUUGGAAAAGGGGCGAAAUCCUGAUCAAGCCAUGCCGCGUGUGUGAAGAAGGUCUUCGGAUUGUAAAGCACUUUAAGUUGGGAGGCGUUACCAACAGAAUAAGCACCGGCUAACUUCGUGCCAGCAGCCGCGGUAAUUC
rnacentral:rRNA from 1 species